rnacentral:rRNA from 1 species
GUGGGGAAUAUUGGGCAAUGGGGGAAACCCUGACCCAGCAACGCCGCGUGAGGGAAGAAGGUUUUCGGAUUGUAAACCUCUGUCCUUGGUGACGAAGGAAGUGACGGUAACCAAGGAGGAAGCCCCGGCUAACUACGUGCCAGCAGCCGCGGUAAUACGUAGGGGGCAAGCGUUGUCCGGAAUGACUGGGCGUAAAGGGCGUGUAGGCGGCCGAUUAAGUCUGGAGUGAAAGUCCUGCUUUCAAGGUGGGAAUUGCUUUGGAGACUGGUUGGCUUGAGUGCGGAAGAGGUAAGUGGAAUUCCCAGUGUAGCGGUGAAAUGCGUAGAGAUUGGGAGGAACACCAGUGGCGAAGGCGACUUACUGGGCCGUAACUGACGCUGAGGCGCGAAAGCGUGGGGAGCGAACAGGAUUAGAUACCCCAGUAGUCC